UAAGGUUAAGUUAAUAAGGGCGCACGGUGGAUGCCUUGGCACUAGAAGCCGAUGAAGGACGUGACUAACGACGAAAUGCUUUGGGGAGCUGUAAGUGAGCAAUGAUCCAGAGAUGUCCGAAUGGGGGAACCCGGCAGGUAAUGCCUGUCACUCAUUACUGUUAAGGUAAUGUAGAGGAAGACGCAGUGAACUGAAACAUCUAAGUAGCUGCAGGAAGAGAAAGCAAAAGCGAUUGCCUUAGUAGCGGCGAGCGAAACGGCAAGAGGGCAAACCGAAGAGUUUACUCUUCGGGGUUGUAGGACUGCAACGUGGACUUAAAGAUUAUAGAAGAACUACCUGGGAAGGUAGGCCAAAGAGAGUAAUAGCCUCGUAUUCGAAAUAGUCUUUAUACCUAGCAGUAUCCUGAGUACGGCGAGACACGAGAAAUCUCGUCGGAAUCUGGGAGGACCAUCUCCCAACCCUAAAUACUCUCUAGUGACCGAUAGUGAACCAGUACCGUGAGGGAAAGGUGAAAAGCACCCCGGGAGGGGAGUGAAAUAGAACCUGAAACCGUGUGCCUACAACAAGUUCGAGCCCGUUAAUGGGUGAGAGCGUGCCUUUUGUAGAAUGAACCGGCGAGUUACGAUAUGAUGCGAGGUUAAGUUGAAGAGACGGAGCCGUAGGGAAACCGAGUCUUAAUAGGGCGCAUUAGUAUCAUGUCGUAGACCCGAAACCAUGUGACCUACCCAUGAGCAGGUUGAAGGUGAGGUAAAACUCACUGGAGGACCGAACCAGGGCACGUUGAAAAGUGCUUGGAUGACUUGUGGGUAGCGGAGAAAUUCCAAACGAACUUGGAGAUAGCUGGUUCUCUCCGAAAUAGCUUUAGGGCUAGCGUCGAUGUUAAGUCUCUUGGAGGUAGAGCACUGUUUGGGUGAGGGGUCCAUCCCGGAUUACCAAUCUCAGAUAAACUCCGAAUGCCAACGAGAUAUAAUCGGCAGUCAGACUGCGAGUGCUAAGAUCCGUAGUCGAAAGGGAAACAGCCCAGACCACCAGCUAAGGUCCCAAAAUAUAUGUUAAGUGGAAAAGGAUGUGGGGUUGCACAGACAACUAGGAUGUUAGCUUAGAAGCAGCUAUUCAUUCAAAGAGUGCGUAAUAGCUCACUAGUCGAGUGACCCUGCGCCGAAAAUGUACCGGGGCUAAAACAUAUUACCGAAGCUGUGGAUACCUUUAUAGGUAUGGUAGGAGAGCGUUCUAUGUGCGAAGAAGGUGUACCGUGAGGAGUGCUGGAGCGCAUAGAAGUGAGAAUGCCGGUAUGAGUAGCGAAAGACAGGUGAGAAUCCUGUCCACCGUAAGACUAAGGUUUCCAGGGGAAGGCUCGUCCGCCCUGGGUUAGUCGGGACCUAAGGAGAGACCGAAAGGUGUAUCCGAUGGACAACAGGUUGAUAUUCCUGUACUAGAGUAUAUAGUGAUGGAGGGACGCAGUAGGCUAACUAAACCAGACGAUUGGAAGUGUCUGGCCAAGCAGUGAGGUGUGAUAUGAGUCAAAUGCUUAUAUCUAUAACAUUGAGCUGUGAUGGGGAGCGAAGUUUAGUAGCGAAGUUAGUGAUGUCACACUGCCGAGAAAAGCUUCUAGCGUUAAUUAUACUCUACCCGUACCGCAAACCGACACAGGUAGUCGAGGCGAGUAGCCUCAGGUGAGCGAGAGAACUCUCGUUAAGGAACUCGGCAAAAUGGCCCCGUAACUUCGGGAGAAGGGGCGCUGACUUAUGGUCAGCCGCAGUGAAUAGGCCCAAGCAACUGUUUAUCAAAAACACAGCUCUCUGCUAAAUCGUAAGAUGAUGUAUAGGGGGUGACGCCUGCCCGGUGCUGGAAGGUUAAGAGGAGUGCUUAGCGUAAGCGAAGGUAUGAAUUGAAGCCCCAGUAAACGGCGGCCGUAACUAUAAC
rnacentral:rRNA from 1 species